UGAACGCUGGCGGCGUGCUUAACACAUGCAAGUCGAACGAGAAAGGGAUUGCUUGCAAUCCUGAGUAGAGUGGCGCACGGGUGAGUAACACGUAGAUAAUCUACCUUCAAGACCGGAAUAACUAAUCGAAAGGCUAGCUAAUACCGGAUGAAGUAUGUGAGCAUAAGUUCAUAUAUGAAAGGUUGCCUCUAUUUAUAAGCAAUCACUUGGAGAUGAGUCUGCGUACCAUUAGCUUGUUGGUGGGGUAAAGGCCUACCAAGGCAGCGAUGGUUAGCUGGUCUGAGAGGAUGAUCAGUCACACUGGAACUGGAACACGGUCCAGACUCCUACGGGAGGCAGCAGUGAGGAAUUUUGCGCAAUGGGGGUAACCCUGACGCAGCAACGCCGCGUGAGUGAAGAAGGCCUUUGGGUCGUAAAGCUCUGUCAACUGGGAAGAAGUUAUUAUAUAUUAAUAGUGUAUAGUAUUGACGGUACCAGUGGAGGAAGCGCCGGCUAACUCC
rnacentral:rRNA from 1 species